rnacentral:rRNA from 1 species
AGCGAACGCUGGCGGCAGGCUUAACACAUGCAAGUCGAGCGGGCAUCCUUGUGGUGUCAGCGGCAGACGGGUGAGUAACGCGUGGGAACGUGCCCUUCGGUUCGUAAUAACUCAGGGAAACUUGAGCUAAUACCGGAUACGCCCUUUUGGGGAAAGGUUUACUGCCGAAGGAUCGGCCCGCGUCUGAUUAGCUAGUUGGUGAGGUUAUGGCUCACCAAGGCGACGAUCAGUAGCUGGUCUGAGAGGAUGAUCAGCCACACUGGGACUGAGACACGGCCCAGACUCCUACGGGAGGCAGCAGUGGGGAAUAUUGGACAAUGGGGGCAACCCUGAUCCAGCCAUGCCGCGUGAGUGAUGACGGCCUUAGGGUUGUAAAGCUCUUUUCUCCGGGACGAUAAUGACGGUACCGGAGGAAUAAGCCCCGGCUAACUUCGUG